CACCAGCUUUCCCUUGUCUGCUUUGGCGUCCGUCCGUUACUGGCUCGAGCCUCCCAGGCAUCUCCACCAGUCCAGUCUCCCAACUCCCCUAGGCCUCUCCACCUUCUUGGCCUGUCUCUCCUCCCCAUCUCCUCUGCCUUGCCUAAACCUUUCUGUCCCAUCUCAUCCAGCGACUUUGUCUUCGCUGCCUCAGACGCUGGAUUAGCGGCCCUUGUAUGAUGAGCCAGCCGUUCCUUGUUUAUUUCUCCUUUAACCUGCUUGACCGAACUCCUUUCUCCUUCAUGGGAAGCAAAUGGGGAUGGAACAAGGGCUCUUCCUACCGUAAGAUAUCGAAGGAUAGACAGCAUGGAAGACUACACUGCGUAUCUAAGAGGAUGUUGGGACCUUGGUCCUGUCAUCUCCAAGUCUUGUUGACCUGUAUACUGUUUUGUGAUCACUCCCCCCCGGAGGGGAACUCUCAGUAGUGGGUCUCUUGCCCCUAGGACACUGUGACCAGAAGACUGACUGUAAGAAGGGCUUCAACGGAAGGAACUUGACCCUUAACACUGUUCACCAACUGCCUGCCUGAAUGAAGCCAGACCUGAGUCUGCAAAUAGGAUGGUAUAAAUGGCAGACCCUGGAUAAAGACUUUUCUCACCAGGAUAACAGUCUCCAGACAACACUGGAAGCAGCUAAGUUGUCUGCCAAGGUUCAUCUCCACAAACUGCUCUUCUCACAAGCCAUCCAAAGAGUCAUGAUUUCUAAUGGAAAGAAAUCAUCAUAGUGAAAGAGCAAGGACCAGCAAAUCCACAAGGCUUCAGUUAAGACGUGCAGAAACAUUCCAGAAUGGACUCUCCAUUUUACCAGUCUUCUUGCAUGAGUUACUUAAACUGACUUAUUAGCAAUGUAUUAUCAAUCUCUAACACAAUAUCAAAAUUUAAGCUGUGUGAGUCAUGCACAUCUCAGCAAAAGUGUAUUUGUGAGGAUUCAAAGUAUCUAAAUGAGCAUAUUAAAAUAUCUAGAUUUUUAUCAUAAAA